rnacentral:rRNA from 1 species
ACACCGGCAGCCCAAGUGGUGGCCAUUUUUAUUGGGCCUAAAGCGUUCGUAGCCGGCCUGAUAAGUCUCUGGUGAAAUCCCGCAGCUUAACUGUGGGAAUUGCUGGAGAUACUAUCAGGCUUGAGGUCGGGAGAGGUUAGAGGUACUCCCAGGGUAGGGGUGAAAUCCUAUAAUCCUGGGAGGACCACCUGUGGCGAAGGCGACGAACUGCAACGAACCUGUAGGGUAGUAACGAAAGCCAGCGGCGCGAACCGGAUUAGAUCCCCGGGUAGUCCUGGCCGUAAACGAUGGGGCCUUGGUGUUGGGAUGGCCUCGAGCUGCCCCAGUGCCGAAGGGAAGCUGUUAAGUCCACCGCCUGGGAAGUACGGUCGCAAGUCUGAAACUUAAAGGAAUUGUCGGGG